rnacentral:rRNA from 1 species
AGUGAACGCUGGCGGUAGGCCUAACACAUGCAAGUCGAACGGCAGCACAGAGGAGCUUGCUCCUUGGGUGGCGAGUGGCGGACGGGUGAGGAAUACAUCGGAAUCUACUCUGUCGUGGGGGAUAACGUAGGGAAACUUACGCUAAUGCCGCAUACGACCUACGGGUGAAAGCAGGGGAUCUUCGGACCUUGCGCGAUUGAAUGAGCCGAUGUCGGAUUAGCUAGUUGGCGGGGUAAAGGCCCACCAAGGCGACGAUCCGUAGCUGGUCUGAGAGGAUGAUCAGCCACACUGGAACUGAGACACGGUCCAGACUCCUACGGGAGGCAGCAGUGGGGAAUAUUGGACAAUGGGCGCAAGCCUGAUCCAGCCAUACCGCGUGGGUGAAGAAGGCCUUCGGGUUGUAAAGCCCCUUUGUUGGGAAAGAAAUCCAUCUGGUUAAUACCCGGGUGGGAUGACGGUACCCAAAGAAUAAGCACCGGCUAACUUCGUGCCAGCAGCCGCGGUAA